GAUGAAGAACGUAGUGAAAUGCGAUAAGUAGUGUGAAUUGCAGAAUUCAGUGAAUCAUCGAAUCUUUGAACGCACAUUGCGCCCGCCAGUAUUCUGGCGGGCAUGCCUGUCCGAGCGUCAUUUCAACCCUCGGGCCCCCCUCUGCGGGCGGCCCGGCGUUGGGGCUCAGGCGCCGUCUCUGCUCGGCGCCUGUCCCCUAAAUGCAGUGGCGGCCUCGCCGCUGCCUCCUCCGCGUAGUAGCACAAACCUCGCGGCUGGAAGGCGGCGCGGCCACGCCGUAAAACCCCCCAACUUUACCAAGGUUGACCUCGGAUCAGGUAGGAAUACCCGCUGAACUUAAGCAUAUCAAUAAGCGGAGGA
rnacentral:misc_RNA from 1 species